rnacentral:rRNA from 1 species
CAGCAGUAGCCGCGGUAACACAGAGGGUGCGAGCGUUAAUCGGAUUUACUGGGCGUAAAGCGUGCGUAGGCGGCUAAUUGAGUCGGAUGUGAAAUCCCCGAGCUUAACUUGGGAAUUGCAUUCGAUACUGGUUAGCUAGAGUGUGGGAGAGGAUGGUAGAAUUCCAGGUGUAGCGGUGAAAUGCGUAGAGAUCUGGAGGAAUACCGAUGGCGAAGGCAGCCAUCUGGCCUAACACUGACGCUGAGGUACGAAAGCAUGGGGAGCAAACAGGAUUAGAUACCCCAGUAGUCCCUGUCUCUUAUAC